UGGGGAAUAUUGCACAAUGGGCGCAAGCCUGAUGCAGCCAUGCCGCGUGUGUGAAGAAGGCCUUCGGGUUGUAAAGCACUUUCAGCGGGGAGGAAGGCGAUAAGGUUAAUAACCUUAUCAAUUGACGUUACCGACAGAAGAAGCACCGGCUAACUCCGUGCCAGCAGCCGCGGUAAUACGGAGGGUGCAAGCGUUAAUCGGAAUUACUGGGCGUAAAGCGCACGCAGGCGGUUGAUUGAGUCAGAUGUGAAAUCCCCGGGCUUAACCCGGGAAUUGCAUCUGAUACUGGUCAGCUAGAGUCGUGUAGAGGGGGGUAGAAUUCCAUGUGUAGCGGUGAAAUGCGUAGAGAUGUGGAGGAAUACCGGUGGCGAAGGCGGCCCCCUGGACAAAGACUGACGCUCAGGUGCGAAAGCGUGGGGAGCAAACAGG
rnacentral:rRNA from 1 species